ensembl:lncRNA GUSBP5 GUSB pseudogene 5
GCACUAGAAAUUCCUCCCAGUCGAGGGCUUUUUUUCCCUCCUGUGAAAAAUAAACCAGAAGAAAGGAGAAGAUGUAUUUUUGUAAUUUAGUUUCAUGAUUUUAAGGACCAAAUCUCAGCUUUAUUUCUCUAGAAUAGGAAAUAGAGAUAUCGUUGUCAUCUUAUGUUUUUUCUCACUUGAUCUGAUCUAUGAUCUGUUGAAACUUGAUCAUCUGUUCUUGCAAAUGCCCUGGAAUACACUUGUGUCAGUGACAAAUGCUGCUUUGCUGUGCUACAUCGAGUACAAGAAAUACAUGGGCUAUCUUCAGCACAGAACACAAACUCUGCCUUCUUUUCUCAAGUCCAGUGAUUCAAGUUUGACACACCACACCACGGUGGAUGUGCCUUGUCAUGACACAUCUUCUCAGCAGCACUAGAAGAUACAUCCAAAGUCCUGUGAGCAAGGACACAGCGAGAAGAUGGCUGUCUACAAGCCAGGAAGAGAGUCCUCACCAGAACCAAACCCUGCUGGACUUUGAUCUUGGACUUCCCAGCCUCUAAAACUGUGAAGACAUAAAUUUCUGUUGUUAAACCCA